AUGAACGCUGGCGGCGUGCCUAAUACAUGCAAGUCGAGCGAACGGACGAGAAGCUUGCUUCUCUGAUGUUAGCGGCGGACGGGUGAGUAACACGUGGAUAACCUACCUAUAAGACUGGGAUAACUUCGGGAAACCGGAGCUAAUACCGGAUAAUAUUUUGAACCGCAUGGUUCAAAAGUGAAAGACGGUCUUGCUGUCACUUAUAGAUGGAUCCGCGCUGCAUUAGCUAGUUGGUAAGGUAACGGCUUACCAAGGCAACGAUGCAUAGCCGACCUGAGAGGGUGAUCGGCCACACUGGAACUGAGGCACGGUCCAGAAUCCUACGGGAGGCAGCAGUAGGGAAUCUUCCGCAAUGGGCGGAGGCCUGACGGAGCAACGCCGCGUGAGUGAUGAAGGUCUUCGGAUCGUAAAACUCUGUUAUUAGGGAAGAACAUAUGUGUAAGUAACUGUGCACAUCUUGACGGUACCUAAUCAGAAAGCCACGGCUAACUACGUG
rnacentral:rRNA from 1 species